ACCAUCCCUGCUGCAGCCAGCCCCAGCUCCCGCUGAAGGUUCUGCUCUGCUCCCCGCUGCCGCUGCAGAACCUCCAUCUUCCUCCGCAGCUCAACGCCGCGCUCCGGCCAGGGCCACCAUCCCGCCUGCAGCACGUAGGCACUGUCACGGCACCGAGGCCACCCCAGUCCUGGGGGGUCAUGAAGGUGCCAGCAACCGCAGUGGACACGGGGGUGAUGCUGGUGCCAGCGACCGCCGUGGGCACAGGGGUGACGCUGG